rnacentral:lncRNA from 1 species
AUUUUUUAUUAAUUUCUCUCAUUCUUCAGAAUGGCUGAGAAGGGAAGAGUUCCUUAGUGUAUCACUUGAAGAAGCUCAGGGGGUCUACAGGUCAGACAUCCUGAGAACUCGUGUCUGUUGUGAGAAGUACAGAGAGAAGUAAGAGGAAGUCUCGUGCGCUCACUGCCUGCCUUCUUCUCAUCUAACUGGAGACACUGCCAGCAAUCACUCUGGCUUUUCCUUG